AAAUGGCAAGUGGAGCAGCUUCAGUGCAGGAGCGGCACAGAUACAACAGGAGAAGCAGCAGUGCAGCAGGUGCAACAGCAGGAGCCCACUGCGAGCCCACUGUUGGUGACCUAAGAAGGAGCAAAGGAGUGGCAGGCAGGAGACAUGAGUCCUAAUCCCUGCUCCAUGAGCUAUCUGCUGUGUGACCUUGGAAUCGACUGGGAAUUAGAGUAACCACUAACUGGAGAUGGGCUGGUGCCACGUCUCAACUUCAGAAAGCAAUUUCCGUUUCUCUAGCCAUCAUCUCGAGAGACUGACACAAAGGAAUCGAGGAAGAGAAGCGAAGCCGAGUGACCCAAUGGAAAGCGUAUGGGCCUUGGAGUCAGAGGACCUGUGUUCGAAUCCCACCACCUCCAUUUGCCUGCUCCGUGGCCUUGGGAAAAUCACCUACCAUCUCUAUGUUUCGCUUUCCUCAGCUGUAAAAUGGGAAUUCGGUAUCUGUUCUCCCUCCUGUUUUGACUGUGAGCCUCAUGUGGGACAGGAACUGAUUGUGACCUGAUUCUCCUGUAUCUACCCCAGUGCUUAGGAUGGUGCUGGGCACAAAAUGAGUACUUGACAUAUACCAUUAUUAAUAUUAAAAAGUUAAAAUAAGGAAGUCACUGGUAUUACCAAA